CAUACGAUGUACUGUCUUUGUGCUAAGGUGCAUCUAGUGCAGAUAGUGAAAUAGACUAGCACCUACUGCCCUAAGUGCUCCUUCUGGCAUAAGGGGCUGUAAUAUG
ensembl:miRNA mir18-1 microRNA mir-18-1